CCACCUCCCCAGUCGUCUACACCUCCUCCGCCUCCACCGCCUGCGCCUCCCUCGUUGGGUUCGUUGUCGUAUGGAUCUGUAAAAGAGGGUAUGAUGUAUGAUAUCAUAUCCAAGGCUUCGACGCCCGAGGCUACCCUUUCUUCUUUCUGGUUUUAUAGUAUCUAAGCAUUUCACCAGCUACGAAACGUGAGGAGCCAGCAACAGCCAGAGAGACAGAUUGCGCUGCGCCAGGCCAAAUACCAAAUAAACAUUCACCAAUGGAGCUAAGCGCAUAUAAGCUAAUUUGCGAAAGCCAACAACAGACUACGAAUAGCGUCAGACAACCGCUGCAGAAGCGUGUAUCUCUAUCUAAUGAAUACGCAAAGCAGAAUAUGAUGAAAUCGUCUAAACUUAGAUACGGUUUUUAAGGGGCUCGGCUCACGCAAUCCUCCAAACGGACAAUGAGAGCGACCAGGCUGGAAAGACAGGUGUCUGGGGACAGGCUGGCGAGGAUGAUUAAAUUGCCGCUAAACUUCGCCUUGAGCCUCCCGAUUGGGGCGCAGUUCGAACGAGACUGAGCCUCUCAGAACGGGCCCGAGCAUUUUCUCUUAAUUGC